CACCUCAAUGUGAGGACAACUUCACGCUACCAUGGGAACUGUUGAGAGUGAACCCCGGGAGAAACAUGGCUGUCACCAGAUUCAGACCCCGAACAAGUUCUGAAUGGAGCAGCGGCAGAGGGAGAAAGCAGGCACCUCUGCAUUUUCUGAUGUAGCUGAAGACAUGAGAGAAGUCCUCACCAAUUCUCUGGAUGGAUGACGUGGGGGUUCCAGGAGACAUCUACUCUUCUCCUUUGGUUUAUAAUAGCCAGAAAAUGAUUUGGGAAUACAAGUUACAUUUCAGGUUACCACCGGGUGGCCCAAUCUUGUUUGGGCAAUAAACUCCUCGACACCCCCUUGAACCACCAGUGAUUGUGUUAAAAAGUAGGCCUAUUAUUCAGUAGCCUUAUAUAGCAUAGUAAUGCAUUUUGUUGUAUAUUUUUUGUGUUAUGGUGAUGUCUAAAGUUUUUACGGUUUUACAGAAAUCAAUUGUAAUGGGAUUAUACUAAUUACUUAAAACAAACAAUUAACUUCAGCAUUCAACAGUAGACCAAGGUUAUGUUUAUUUGUUUUCUUUUAGAAGUUUAAUUUUAUUUUUAAGACAUUGAUGACUGUUACAGCAGAUUUAGUAUAAAGUGUAUAUUUUCUUAAGGUUGGAGCCAAAUUAUGCAAUGGAAAUACAAAGUAAUUUCAAAAAGAUAUCCUCUACCAAUGAGUGAACUGGUCCAAUUAUUUUCAUGAAAAAACACACCUUGAAUAAAGUUGUUGGCAUAUUUA